CGCGUAGGCGGGGAGGUAAGUCGGGUGUGAAAUCCCUCGGCCUAACCGAGGAACUGCGCCCGAGACUGCUUCUCUUGAGUCCCGGAGAGGAAGAUGGAAUUCCCGGUGUAGCGGUGAAAUGUGUAGAGAUCGGGAGGAACACCGGUGGCGAAGGCGGUCUUCUGGACGGUGACUGACGCUGAGGCGCGAAAGCGUGGGGAGCAAACG
rnacentral:rRNA from 1 species